rnacentral:rRNA from 1 species
UACGGGGGGGGCAAGCGUUGUUCGGAAUUACGGGGCGUAAAGGGCUCGUAGGUGGCCAACUAAGUCAGACGUGAAAUCCCCAGGCUCAACUUGGGAACUGCGUCUGAUACUGGAUGGCUUGAAUUCGGGAGAGGGAUGCAGAAUUCCAGGUGUAGCGGUGAAAUGCGUAGAUAUCUGGAGGAAUACCGGUGGCGAAGGCGGCAUCCUGGACCGAGAUUGACACUGAUGAGCGAAAGCUAGGGGAGCAAACGGG